GCGGAAUUUGAAAAUGAUUCCAAAUCAUUUAAAGAAGGUUUAUACAAUGCUUCAGAUAAUUUGGCUGAUGAAGAGAUGAAACCCUAUGAGGAUCAACUAGGCCAUUUUGCCAAUUUAUCCGAAAGCGCUCGUAAACACAUUGUAUAUUCGAAUGAAUUGGAUAAUGACGGU